CAGCUGAUGGAACAGGGCUCAAAUAAACCUGAUUUUAAGGUACAUGUUAUCAUGAAGAGCUAGCUGUGCUAGCAGGCUUGCCUGUCCUACCAGAGUUUAAACAGUCCCACCAAAAUCAACCAGCAAGAACCACAGUGGAAACCAAAUCUGGCCUGUAGUUCAUCAGAGAGGAGGAUCUCCCCGCCAUCAUCUCACCUCUGUCUGAGGCUCCUCAGAGCACAGCGGACUGAAGAUAUGUUUUAGAUGGUUUUUAUUAUCCUCUAAAAUAGAGAAGCUAAUUCAAUACAAUUAAAAGCUAUCUACUGUCAUUCACGUUACACAUUUCAUUUAAAUUCUUCAGAUUAAGUUUGAAUUACAGUAUGUUGUAGUCUUAGAUUUUUUUUUAAUUAUUCUUUCACCGCCAGCAGUAAAGCUCAGAACAGUGACUUGUAAAUUUUCAUUGCUGUUUUUCUCCAUCUUUGUCAUAGUCAUUGUCAUCAGUUGCUGACACCCAGGCCUCCUGACUGUCCAAGACAAAAGGUCUGAGGUGAUUUGCUCCCAGCAGCUCUUGGGAUGCUGAGCAUCAAGGGUUAGGCGCUUGUGCCUCCACAUCCAAACGUUGCAGCAUGGCUUGAAGCCUUCACCUGAAGCUUCUACAACUUAACUCUGCUGUAUCAAGAGCAAGCUUCUAUCACACUGUAAUCAAACAAGGUUUUUAGUGUGAAUUAGCCCCACCUGUGACAGGCACCAAGAAAACAAACUUCAUCAGCCGAAAAAGGUGGAACGUCCAUGACAGGAAGAACAGCCUAGCAAGUUCUCACAUAUCCCCCCUCUUAAGACUAUCAAUUGACUCUAAGGACUAUGCGUGAGUUGUAUCCAAAUAUUUGGACUUUUGUGUACAUCGUUGGUUAUUGUGCUUUUACAACAUUUGCUUAUAUCUUUAGUAGUAGUUCCUUUAUUUUUUAACAUGUCAAUUCAGAUUUGUGGUUGAUAUUACUCAUAACUGCUGACAGUUAUCAAAGUCAGCCAGCUGCCACUCAGCCUCCAAUUGUUUUUCUGUACCAAAUAUUUGGAAAAGGCAACAGCUGAUGCAUUGUAGGUGAGAAUUUUCCCCACUAAAAUUAAAAAUUGUACAUUAAAAUAUAAUGCUACAGUUGAAUAUGUGGAUGGUUGAACUUAAAUUAAGUUACAGUAAUAAUUCAGAUUUCCUUUUUUUUUUUUUUUUACCUCACUCAUGGUGUUUUUUAAAUUCAUCUAUAAUUCUCCUGACAAUAAAUAAGUGACUGUAGUUCCUUGCACCAAUAGAGUAACUUUGU